UACGAAGGGGGCUAGCGUUGUUCGGAAUUACUGGGCGUAAAGCGCACGCAGGCGGACGCGCGCGUGGGGUGUGAAAUCUGGCCGCUUAACGGCCAGGCGCCAUCCCAUACGGCGCGUCUGGAGUGAUGCAGAGGUCGAUGGAAUUGCCGGUGUAGUGGUGAAAUGCGUAGAGAUCGGCAGGAACACCCAGGGGGAAACCAGUCGACUGGGCAUCUACUGACGCUGAGGUGCGAGAGCGUGGGGAGCGAACCGG
rnacentral:rRNA from 1 species